UAUCUCUGUAGAGUCUGCAUAUCAAUAAGCGGAGGAAAAGAAACUAACAAGGAUUCCCUUAGUAACGGCGAGUGAAGCGGGAAGAGCUCAAAUUUGAAAUCUUCAAGGUUCUACCUAGACGAAUUGUAGUUUAUAGAAGUGUUUUCUGUUAGUGGAGUGGCAAAAGUUCUUUGGAAUAGGACAUCAUAGAGGGUGAGAAUCCCGUAUUUGGUCAUUCCUCCUAGCUUUGUGAUACACUUUCAACGAGUCGGAUUGUUUGGGAAUGCAGUCCAAAAUGGGUGGUAAAUUUCAUCUAAAGCUAAAUAUUGGCGAGAGACCGAUAGCGAACAAGUACCAUGAGGGAAAGAUGAAAAGAACUCUGAAAAGAGAGUUAAACAGUACGUGAAAUUGUCAAAAGGGAAGCGUUUGACACCAGUGUUGUUUUUCCGAAAAUCAAUUACGAAUGUUUUAUUUUUGAGGAGUUAUGACUUCAUCGGCUUGCUCCUUUCUUUAUGAAACUUUCUUAAUGCACUUUUCGGUUAACAAGUCAACAUCAAUUUCUUUUGUUGUAAAAGGGUAUGAGGAAGGUGGCUUUCUUUUCGGAGAAAGUGUUUAUAGCCUUGUGCCUCUGCAAUCGGAGAGAUUGAGGUCUGCAGCGUAGAUCCUUCGGGGUUAGAUACGUUUGUGCUAAGUUAUAGCUUUUCAUAGACAACUUGUUGACUAUGUUUAGUCUUGUAGCUUACUCGCUGACGCUAUUUUACCUACGCUUAGGAUGUUGAUGUGAUACUGCGAGCA
rnacentral:rRNA from 1 species